AUAAACUUUAAAUUUAACUCUCACAUACAUCGGCACGAUUACUUGGGUGCCCCUAUUUACGGGGUUGGUAAUUGGGAUGUGUGGAGGCAUAACC
rnacentral:sRNA from 1 species